AUGCGCGACGAAUAUUAUUUCGUAGCGCAAAGUUCAUGUAUCUCGCACGACGGAAGAGUCCGUCGUGCAUUGUUUUUGUUGAAUUCUGCUCCAGGAAGCAAAAUUAUUGUCACUACCCGCAGUGGCAUAGUUGCACCACUCACAGAAACACUUCCGCGGCCUAAAUUGGACCUUCUAUCAACAGAUGAAUGUUGGUCCAUAUUGAAACAUGCAGCUUGCUCAGAUGGUAGUUUAGAGAGAAUUGGACGGGAGAUUGCUAAAAAGUGUGAAGGUUUACCAUUGAUGGCACAGGUUUUGGGAGGCAUUUUGCGCUCUAAAAAGACUCAUAAUGAAUGGUCUAAAGUCAAAGACAAUAGAAUAUGGGACUUACCAAAGACAGAAGAUAGAAUCAUGUCAGUCUUGAAGUUGAGUUUCGAUAAUUUGGAAUCACCAACACUGAAGCAAUGUUUUUCAUAUUGCUCAGCGUUCAAGAAAGAUGCCGAGAUGGAAAGAGAUGACUUGAUUCAACUUUGGAUGGCUCAAGGGUUCCUCCAUCCUUCUCUUGAAAAAAAGUAAUCUAGAGAUGGAGGAUAUAGGUAAUGAAUAUUUUGAUAUUCUAUUCCAAAGAUCCUUAUUUCAAGAUGCUAGACUGGAUGAUGAUGGCAUUGUUAUUGAAUGAAAGAUGCACGAUCUCAUACAUGAUCUUGCAGAACAUGUAUCUGAAACUGGAAGCAUGAUGCGAGACUUCCACGAGGAUGAAGAUGUUGCAACUCCCAUUAUAGAAAGAAUUCCAGAAGGAAGUAGUGGGAAAUUGAGAUCACUGUUUUCGAAUGCUGAAGCACUACCUGGAAACAUGUUGCCAUGGUUUAAAUCUUUACGUGUCUUGAAAUUAUAUGGGGCAUAUAUUAUUCAGGAGCUUCCAAGUUCAAUCGAAGAGCUGAAACGCUUGAGAUAUCUUGACAUUUCCUUUACAAAAAUCAAAAGACUCCCAAAUUCUAUUGGCAAGCUAUAUAACGUACAAACAUUAAGAGCAAGAUACUGCAACCUUGAAGAAUUUCCAAAAGACGUGCAAAACUUGAUCAACUUGAGACAUGUUUAUUGUGAUGAGGGAAUAAAAUUUCCAGCUGGAGUAUUAGGGAGAUUAACGCUCCUCCGAGCAUUACCUUAUGAGGAUUAUGAGGUGAUGGGUAGGGAAAUUGAGGAGCUGGCUGCCUUGAAUCAAAGGGUAAAUUGAAUAUUUGUAAAUUGGAAGAUGUAAGGAAUGGAGAUGAGGCAAGGAUAGCUAAAUUAAAGGAUAUGAAAAACGUACACAGCUUGAUAUUUACAUGGUCAAUAACCAACAAUAAUAAUGAUGAGGAUGUACUAGAAGGCCUCCAGCCACAUUCUGAGAAUAAUAAUGAUGAUGAUGUACUAGAAGGCCUCCAGUCGCAUUCUAAGUUGGAAAGGCUAGAGAUUCGAUAUUUCAUGGGUACUAAAUUUCCAUCAUGGAUGAUUAAGCUUGAAAAUUUAAAGGAGAUUAAGCUUUGGGGGUGCAAGAUAACAAGUCAUGGUGUUUCCUCGCCUGGAGAAGCUGGAGAUGUUGCGAUGUCCCAAAUUGAGAAAGGCUCCCAGAGUCAUCUUCCAUCUCUGAAGGAGUUGGGGAUACUAGGUAAUAAGGAGAUGGAACAUAUGGAGAUAAGAUAUUGUGAGAAGUUAACUUGUAUUGCCCACUAUAUCUUUGGUUGUUGUGCAUCUCUUCGAAAGUUGGUUGUAUACAGUUGCCCUAGUCUACAAUCUAUUCCAGAUUUGCAUAGCUUCACAUCCCUCAGUGAAUUGAGCAUUGAAUAUUGUGAGAGAUUAAAAAGUUUGGUGAGCGGUGGGCCUGUCUAUGUUGAGGGGUUGCUGUCUAUAAUAGGUUGUAGUGGUCUACAAUUUAUUCCAGAUUUGAACCUCUUCUCGUCCCUCCAUAAAUUGAGCAUUGAAUCUCGUGAGAGAUUAGAAAGUUUGAGGAGCAGUAGGCCCGUCUCUGUUGUGGAGUUGAUAAUAAGAAAUGCCCCUAAUUUAGAGAGAGUGUGUUUGGACAACCUCACAUCGAUCUCUGUGUUGGUAAUUGGUAAUUGUGGGAAAUUAAAAUAUCUGCCCACAGGGCUACUAAGCAACUACGCCAAUUUCAAGAAAUUGGAACUUGGUGGGUUAUGGGAGGAGCUCGAUUCCUUCCCUGGUUUCCAUCUUGAACCUGGUCUACAAUCUAUUCUAGCUUUAAGCUACCUCACAUCCCUCCGUCAACUGAUCAUUAAAGAUUGUGGGAGAUUACAAAGUUUGGGGAGUAGUGGCCCACAACUGUCAGCCUCUCUUGUGGAGUUGAAAAUAAGAAAUGCCCCUAAUUUAGAGAGUCUUCCAAGUUUAGACAACCUCACAUCGCUCUCUAAGUUGGUGAUUGUUAAUUGUGGGAAAUUAAAAUAUCUGCCUACAGGGCUACACUGCUGCUCCAGCUUGAAGACAUUGGAACUUGGUGCGUUCUGGGAGGAGCUUGAUUCCUUCCCUUAUUUCCAUCUUGGAACUGGAUCAUCACAACUUCAAAUAUUAAAUUUGACCGGAUGGCCCAAGCUCAAGUCUCUGCCUCAACAAAUUCAAGACUUCACUUCUCUAACAUUUUUGGAUAUAUGGAAAUUCGAUGGAGUGGAGGCUCUUGAGGAUUGGUUGUGUAACCUUACAUCCCUUACGAUGCUGAGAAUUGUAUUUUGCAAGAAGCUGAUGUAUCUACCUAGUGUCACAGCUAUGCAACGCCUCACCAAAUUAGACAUUUGGGGUUGUCCCCUUCUGAAGGAAAGAUGCACCAAGGACAGCGGCCCCAGAAUGGCCAAAGAUUUCUCACAUUCCAUAUAUUGACAGUGAAAAUACCUGUAGGAUGUCUAUAUAUGCCUAG